UCCUUUUGCUUAUUGUGCAUAUAAUCUUGUUUUGUUGUGGAAGUUAGAACUUAGGAAAAGAAGAGAUUAAACUUCAUUCUCAUUGAUUGUUUUGUAUAUAGAACUUUUUUAUUGCUUGGUUUGUCACGCAUUUAUGAGAAAUGCUAGCAGGACUUCAAUGUUAAUUUGCAUGGGACCCUCUUAAUGAAUUAGAUAUCUACUUGUCAAGCUCUAGUAAAUAUGUAUAUGGUACGAAGCAGGAACUUGACAACUAUAUAAGCAAAAUAUCUUCUAGUUAGGUGGCAAGUAUAGACCUCGCAAGAGCAGCCCUCAAGCCUGAC
rnacentral:lncRNA from 1 species